UCUCAAAGAUUAAGCCAUGCAUGUCUAAGUUCACACCCUCGUACGGUGAAACCGCGAAUGGCUCAUUAAAUCAGUCGAGGUUCCUUAGAUGAUCCAUUUCUACUUGGAUAACUGUGGUAAUUCUAGAGCUAAUACAUGCCCAACAGCUCCGACCCCGGGCUUCGCGGUUCGGGGAAAGAGCGCUUUUAUUAGUUCAAAACCAGUCGGGGGUUUCGGCCCUCGUGCUUUGGUGACUCUGGAUAACUUUGAGCCGAUCGCAUGGCCUCGAGCCGGCGACGCAUCUUUCAAAUGUCUGCCCUAUCAAAUGACGACGGUACGUGAUCUGCCUACCGUGUUGACUACGGGUAGCGGGGAAUCAGGGUUCGAUUCCGGAGAGGGAGCAUGANAAACGGCUACCACAUCCAAGGA
rnacentral:rRNA from 1 species